AAAUACUACCCAGUGACCGAUAGCGUAUAGUACUGUGAAGGAAAGGUGAAAAGCACCCCGGGAGGGGAGUGAAAAAGAACCUGAAACCCUGUGCCUACAAGCACCUAGAGCGCGUCAAAGCGUGAUAGGGUACUUUUUGUAGAACGGUCCGGCGAGCGAUUGUAUGCAGCAAGGUUAAGGACUUAAGGUCUGGAGCCGAAGCGAAAGCGAGUUUGAAAAGGGCGUUAAGUUGCAUAUAAUGGGCCCGAAACCGGGUGACCUACCCAUGGUCAGGUUGAAGUGGAAGUAAAAUUCCAUGGAGGACCGAACCGACCUCCGUUGAAAAGGCGGCGGAUGAACUGUGGGUAGCGGAGAAAUUCCAAUCGAACCCGGAGAUAGCUGGUUCUCCCCGAAAUAGUUUUAGGACUAGCCUCAAGUUAGAUACCUGGAGGUAAAGCACUGAAUAGCCUAGCGGCCGAGAGGUUAGCGAAGCUUAUCAAACUCAGAAUGCCAGAGUAUUGAUGCUUGGGAGUCAGACAGUGUCAGAUAAAUGUCAUUGUCAAAAGGGAAACAGCCCAGAUCUACAGCUAAGGUCCCAAAGUCAGGUUAAGUGGAAAACGAUGUGAAGAUACGUAGACAACCAGGAUGUUGGCUCAGAAGCAGCCACUCAUUCAAAGAGUGCGUAAUAGCUCACUGGUCGAGCGUCUUUGCGCGGAGAAUUUAACGGGGCUAAACCUGACACCGAAGCUUAGGCAAUCCAGUAAUGGAUUGGGUAGGGGAGCGUUGUAUACGCGGAGAAACAGUAGCGUGAGCGGCUGUGGAGUGUAUAGAAGUGAGAAUGCCGGAAUGAGUAGCGCGAAUGCAGUGAGAAUCUGCAUGGCCGAAAGCCUCAGGUUUUUGGAGGAAGGUUCGUCCGCUCCAAGUUAGUCGGGAGCUAAGGUGAGGCCGGAAGGCGUAGCCGAUGCACAGACGGUAGAGAUUCCGUCACCACCAAAAGAGUUAAGCACAGGGACACAUUUGAAGUCUCAGAGCCGGGUGUUGGUUCCGGUAGAGAUCGAGGGAAGUUAGUACCGAAGUCUGGGAUGGAAGAUGGCGAGAAAAGCUGUGUGUAUUUCUGAGGUGCCCGUACCGCAAACCGACACAGGUAGGUAGGAAGAAGAUUCUAAGGCCAACGGGAGAAGGGUUGUUAAGGAACUCGGCAAAUUGACCCCGUAACUUCGGGAGAAGGGGUGCUGCAGCAAUGCAGCCGCAGAGAAUCGGCCCAAGCAACUGUUUACCAAAAACACAGGUUUGUGCUAAAUCGAAAGAUGACGUAUACGAGCUGACGCCUGCCCGGUGCUGGAAGGUUAAGAGGAGAUGUGCAAGCAUUGAAUCGAAGCCCCAGUGAACGGCGGCCGUAACUAUAACGGUCCUAAGGUAGCGAAAUUCCUUGUCAGGUAAGUUCUGACCCGCAUGAAAGGCGUAAUGAUUUGGGCACUGUCUCAACAGCCCGCCCGGCGAAAUUGUAGUACCGGUGAAGAUGCCGGUUACCCGCGACAAGACGGAAAGACCCCAUGGAGCUUUACUGUAGCCUAAUAUUGGGUUUCGAUGUUGCAUGCACAGGAUAGAUGGGACACUGGGAAGCAGGUGCUUUGGCGCUUGUGGAGUGGCCGUUGGGAUACCAUCCUUGCGAUAUUGGAAUUCUAACCUGCGCCUUUGAAUCAAGGCGGGGGACAUUGUUAGGUGGGCAGUUUGACUGGGGCGGUCGCCUCCUAAAGAGUAACGGAGGCGUUCAAAGGUUCGCUCAGCUUGAACGGAAAUCAAGCAAAAGAGUGCAAACGCAGAAGCGAGCCUAACUGCGAGACUGACGGGUCGAGCAGUAACGAAAGUUGGAGUUAGUGAUCCGGUGGUAUGUGAGUGGAAAUGCCAUCGCUCAACGGAUAAAAGUUACCCUGGGGAUAACAGGCUGAUCUCCCCCAAGAGUCCACAUCGACGGGGAGGUUUGGCACCUCGAUGUCGGCUCAUCGCAUCCUGGGGCUGUAUUCGGUCCCAAGGGUUUGGCUGUUCGCCAAUUAAAGCGGUACGCGAGCUGGGUUCAGAACGUCGUGAGACAGUUCGGUCCCUAUCUGUCGUGGGCGCAGGAUAUUUGAUGGGAGCUGUUCCUAGUACGAGAGGACCGGAGCGGACGUACCUCUGGCGCACCAGUUGUUCUGCCAAGAGCAUAGCUGGGCAACUAUGUACGGAUCGGAUAAACGCUGAAAGCAUCUAAGCGUGAAGCCGACCCAAAGAUAAGAUAUCCCAUUGU
rnacentral:rRNA from 1 species